rnacentral:snRNA from 1 species
AUAGCUUCUCAGUCUUUCGGCUAAGAUCAAGUAUAGUAUAUCUUUAAGUUUAAUGUCUAAUAUGUCCUCUAUCCAAGGAUCAUAUAUUUGAGAAGGCAGAAAUGUU